rnacentral:rRNA from 1 species
UCAGGGCCCGAGUUGUAAUUUGUAGAGGAUGCUUUUGGCGAGGUGCCUUCCGAGUUCCCUGGAACGGGACGCCACAGAGGGUGAGAGCCCCGUAUGGUCGGACACCGAGCCUCUGUAAAGCUCCUUCGACGAGUCGAGUAGUUUGGGAAUGCUGCUCAAAAUGGGAGGUAUAUGUCUUCUAAAGCUAAAUAUUGGCCAGAGACCGAUAGCGCACAAGUAGAGUGAUCGAAAGAUGAAAAGCACUUUGAAAAGAGGGUUAAAAAGUACGUGAAAUUGUUGAAAGGGAAGCGCCUAUGACCAGACUUGGGCCCGGUGAAUCACCCAGCGUUCUCGCUGGUGCACUUUGCCGGGCACAGGCCAGCAUCAGUUCAGCGCGGGGGAGAAAGGCUUCGGGAAUGUGGCUCCCUCGGGAGUGUUAUAGCCCGCUGCGUAAUGCCCUGCGCCGGACUGAGGUACGCGCAUUGCAAGGAUGCUGGCGUAAUGGUCAUCAGCGACCCGUCUUGAAACACGGACCAAGGAGUCGUCUUCGUAUGCGAGUGUUCGGGUGUCAAACCCCUACGCGUAAUGAAAGUGAACGUAGGUGAGAGCUUCGGCGCAUCACCGACCGAUCCUGAUGUUCUCGGAUGGAUUUGAGUAAGAGCAUACGGGGCCGGACCCGAAAGAAGGUGAACUAUGCCUGUAUAGGGUGAAGCCAGAGGAAACUCUGG